rnacentral:lncRNA from 1 species
CUCCCUUAGCAUCAAUGGGAGCACUUCUCUUGCACUGUUAAUAAAUUAUGAAUACAUUAUUUCAACCCUAAUUAUAAAUUAAUGAAUAAUAAUACUUAUCUCCAGCUUAAUUGAUUUUAAAAAUUAAAUUUAAUACUGCAUUAUAUCAAAAAUUAUUUAUGUGUAGUAAAUUUACCCUCCCAGAUCCUGGUCCUUCCAAAAAAUUUUCAACUUGUUCACUUCUCUCAGAAUUCCACUAGCACCAACGCUACAUCGAAAACAAUAAUACUCGUUUAUAUAUACAAUUAAUCAAGUUAGAUGAUAUUAAGAUUUGUAAGUAUAUAUAAAUUAUGGAAACAAAAAUUAAAUAAUUAAUUGAAGUAAUCAGUUUUUAUUCAGAUAGUACCUGGACGUGCUGCUUAUAAGGCGAUCAAUGCACUUAUCCACAUCAUGGUAAUCGUAUUCCGAAGUUUGACUGUUUGAAUAAUGUAAUUUAUAUAUGUAAGAUAUAGAACUAUUAUUUGAGUUUAUAGAAAGAAAUAUUCAGUUUGAGUAAUGUAUAUAAUAUAUAUACAUUGCAUGCGCAAUUUUUUGCAAUAUGGGAGGAGUUU